rnacentral:lncRNA from 1 species
CCAGACCAAUUCUCCGAUCUUAUACCUUCCUCGCCAGCAACAAACAUCCAUUUUCCCAUCUUUAGUCCAUUAUCUUAUUUAUCUCUUACUUCCUUCCUUUUCCUUAUUUAUUUANNNNNNNNNNNNNNNNNNNUUAUUUAUUCUCUUACUUUCCUUCCUUUUUCUAUUUAGUUAUUUCCUUAAUUAUUUUACUAUUUUAAUACCAAAUGUCAUAGCAUAGUUUCUUCACAAAUCACUCGAAAUCAGAAAUUGUAUCUCUUCCUGUAAAGAACGAAUUUUGGUGGAAGAUUUGGGUACGAAUUUCAUUGAAAAAUCUGUCCAAGUUCAUAGGAGUCCCCAAAUAGGUAAAGAUUUUGAAUUUAUCGCGGGUUCCGCUUUCUUUGAUUUGAUAUAAUAAUUUUCAGAGAAACUCAAUCCCGUAAGUUUCUUUCCUUCUUGACAUGAUUUAUUAUUGCUCUAAUUAUAUUAUAGUUGGAUUUGAUAAAUAUUCAUAUACUUUUUAUAUAUAGAAAGAAUCACUUUUUUUUCCAAAGUUGUGGCCUCCGAUUUCUGCUAAUUAAUUCUGUUAAGUAUUAAUUGUUAGCCUUAAUUUCUGUACUUUUUACUAAGAGCAUUAAUAAUUUUUAGCUAUAAAUACUACUACUGUUAAGGCAAAGAAAAAGAAAAAAGAAAGAGGAGGAGGACUUUUGAUCAUUGCUCUUCAUCACUUCCAUAACUUUUCUUUUACUGUGAUAUACUUUGCAUUCACUGCUCUUCGGCUACUUCUUUGCUUAUUGCAAGCCAAAGCAACAUUUCUUUUCUUUUAUUUCACUCUACACAAAUGUUUGCUUGAAAUUCUUAGAAGUUUUGGUGAUCUUGGAGCGUCGAGAUUUGAGUAUUGGUUUCUUGUCGCUAUCAUUCGAGUUUUCUCAUUACAAUCACUGCGUAUUUCUGGAGUUUGUUUGGCAUAUUUACUGCUAUUGAAGCUCUGUCCAUGAAUCAUUCUUUGGAAUUCUGGUUUUUUUACGAAUUUGGUACUCAAAAAACGGGUUAGUUUCCUUAACGAUGCAUUAUGAUUCCUUUACGUGUUGGUUGUUGUUAUAAUAAACUAGUCCUUCUCUUUUGUUUUGUAUUUUGUACACUCUUGGCCAUGCCGAGAUAUCGAGUGCCAUGCGGUACUCUAUUGAAAUUAUGCCAAUAUAAUAACCAGGUACGUCUCUUAAAUUCAGGUGUGUUUUUGAUCUUUUGACUUUACGUGUGUGUUUUUGAUUAUGAGACGACCUAACCAUAAAUGUCUUUUGGAUUUGUUCUGGCACUCUAGUAACUAGGAAAUUAUUUAUUUUAUUUAGGACUAAAGAUUGUAUAAAUAAGAGUAGCAUCAACUUAUCUGCUAUGUUCAACGAUUUAGUUUAGGAAUUCUGCCUAAAAGAUUUCGAAUGAUAUUUGUAAGUUCCAUGAUCUUCAUUCUUUGAAUAUAGCUGAAUCUGCAUAGGUAUUAUAGCGACCCAAAUUCUACUAAGGGUCGUGAUGGCGUCGGACACCACUGUCAGGCAAGCCAACCAAAAUACUUAAUUAAAUUCUCGUUUUAAUAAUUUUGAAAACUAUAAUUUUCCUUCAUUUUUACUGGUAAAAGAUAAUCGUUUCAAAUCAAAUAUGAUUAUUAAGCAGUUACUACAAGAUACCCCAUAAUCAUCCCAGAACCUGGUGUCACAAGUGCAUGAACAUUUAUUAGGGAAUGAAAUAAAAUGCGGUAACUGUCUCGAAUACAAAGUGGACAGAAAUGAAAAAAAAUACAGUACAAUACUGUGAAGGGGACUCUACGGGCUGCGGGUCGUCUCGAUAAAUGCAGCUCACCAAAGUCUCCAUAUCAACCAUGCUGCUAUGCCACUAAGCCACUAGCCACAUAUAACCUCGUGCAAUAAAAAUGCACAGCAAGUGUAGUAUGAGUACGAAAACAACGUAUACUCAAUGAGUAUCCCGUCUAAUCUCGAAGAAGUAGAGACGAGUGGUCGACUUCGACACUUGCUAAUGGUCCAAUAGUAAUAUUAUUAAUGCGAUGAAUCACAGAUUUAAUAAGAACAUCAGUAAAUUCAAAUAAGUCACGAAACAGGAAAAAGUUCCUUUUAUUUAAAAGUCUCCGAAUUCAUAACUCAUUCAUUAACAAUUAUCUCAAGUCGGGGAGAGCAAUAUCAAUAUCAAUAAAUCUCCAGGCAAGCAAUACAAGCAUGUGCAAAUCAUGCCGAGGUCGUACGGCCUAAUCCAACAUAAAUGUAAAAUGUGCACUGCCGAGGGUUGAACGGCGCGAACCAUAGAUGCAUCUAUUACCCCGCUCGCGAAUCAUACAUGUGACACCGUCAAAUUUAAAUAAACAAUCAUCCUACUCGCGAAUCAUACAUGCGAUGCAGGUACAUAUAAAAAUACAUGCUCAAACAACCAGUUAAGAAUUUAUCGGGGAGCAUUUAUCCAAAUGAAAGCCAAUUAUCUUUUAACUAUUUAAGAAAAUGAAGUUUAAUCCUUUUAGAAAUUUAUUUACCAAUUCGAUAGGAUUUAAGCAAUUCAACUGUCAAUAAGAUUACAGGUAUUCCAAGUAUAGCAUGCUUUUGGGUCCUAGACUACCCAAAAUUACACAUAUUAGUAGCUACGCACGGACUCUCGUCACUUCGUGCGUAUGUAGCCCCAACAAAUAGGAGCACAUAACCAAUUAUUUCACUUAUGGGGACAAUUCCCUCUUGCAUUGUUAGAAAGGAGACUCACCUCGCUCCAAAGAUCCAUAACCGGUAUUCCACGCUCUUCCGAAGACUCGAAUCGAUGCACAACGCUCCAAAACUAGCCAAUAAUUAUGCAAUUCCAUUAAUAUAUGUUCAAUUACUCAUUACAAUCCAAUUUAUAACAAUUCCUAACCCCGAUCAAAAAGUUGACAAAAUUGCCCUCGGCCCACGUGCCUGGAUUCCGAAAUUUUUCAAAGAUAAUGUUUACCCAUGAACUCACGAACUCAAAUAUAUGAUUUUCUCCUAAUUUUGUACCAAAAAUCGUGAUCACAAUCCAAGAAUACGAAUUUUCUAAGUUUUCCUCAAGCCCCCAAAUUUCUACCAAUUUACAUGCAAAUAUUCAUACAUAAUCAAUGUAUUUAACUCAAGAUAGGUGGGGUAAGCUUACCUUGUUGAUGAUAAUGAAAAACCCCACUUGAAGCUCUCUAAAUCGCCCCUACCAACUAAAAAUGGGAGAAAGAUGACUAUCUCCUGAUUUUUAAAAAACAUACUGCCUCCAGCAUUUUCUCACCUGCGGAAAUUUCUACUGCAGGUGUGGUCUCAGCCAACUCGCUAAAGUCCUCUUCUGUGGUCUCGGUUCUGCGGAAGGUUCAUCGCACCUGCGGUCCCAACCAAACCCAGCCAUUUUCUGCUUCUGCGACACAAGGGCUGCUUCUGCGGCUCCGCACCUGCGGCCCAAGUCUCGCAGUUGCGGUUACACCAGCAACUUCAGCUCUUCCUCCAAGUUCCAAUUCGAUCUGUUAACCACCUGGAAUCCACCCGAGGCCCCCGGGACCCCGACCAAUUAUACCAACCAGUCCCAAAACACAUUACGGACUUACUUGAGGCCUCAAAUCAUAUCAAACAAUGCUAAAAUCAUGAAUUGACCUCCAAUCCAAGCUUAAUGAACUUUAGAAAUUCAAACAUCUACAUUCGAUGACGAAACCUAUCAAAUCACAUCCGAUUGACCUCAAAUUUUGCACACAAGUCAUAUUUGACAUUACGGACCUACUCCAACUUCUAGAAUCGGAAUCCGACCCCGAUAUCAAAAAGUCCACUUCCGGUCAAACUUCUCAAAAACAUCAAAUUUCUAUCUUUAGCCAAAUAACUCCAAAAUGACUUACGGACCUCCGAAUUUACUUCCGAUCGCGCUCCCAAUACCGGAAUCACCAUACAGAGCUAUUCCUAGACUCGGAAUCCCAAACGGGCAUUGAUAACACUGAAAUGCACUUCAACCCAAACUUAUGAGAUUCUUCCAAAAUGCUAACUUCCACAAUAGGCGCUGAAACGCUCCCGGGUCUUCCAAAACCCGAUCGGACAUACUCCCAAGUCCGAAAUCAUCAGAAGCUAAGAGUUAUAUUUGUUUGCUUUGUUGGCUAUAAUAUUACUGCCAUGAUGUUCUCAAACAUCGAUACCAUGUNNNNNNNNNNNNNNNNNNNNNNNNNNNNNNNNNNNNNNNNNNNNNNNNNNNNNNNNNNNNNNNNNNNNNNNNNNNNNNNNNNNNNNNNNNNNNNNNNNNNNNNNNNNNNNNNNNNNNNNNNNNNNNNNNNNNNNNNNNNNNNNNNNNNNNNNNNNNNNNNNNNNNNNNNNNNNNNNNNNNNNNNNNNNNNNNNNNNNNNNNNNNNNNNNNNNNNNNNNNNNNNNNNNNNNNNNNNNNNNNNNNNNNNNNNNNNNNNNNNNNNNNNNNNNNNNNNNNNNNNNNNNNNNNNNNNNNNNNNNNNNNNNNNNNNNNNNNNNNNNNNNNNNNNNNNNNNNNNNNNNNNNNNNNNNNNNNNNNNNNNNNNNNNNNNNNNNNNNNNNNNNNNNNNNNNNGAGGUAGUUUACUCAAAAAUUCAAUCUUAGUCCAUCCUUUCGACUUAAAGCUUCAGAAAUGAGAAUUCUCUUUCCAAAUAAACUCUGAACUUUCCGGAAUUCAAUUCCGACUGUGCGCACAAGUUAUAAUACCUGAUGUGAAGCUGUUAAUGGCGUCAAACUGCUGAACGAAGCACUAGAGCUCAAAACGACUGGUCGGGUUGUUACAUUCUCUCCCACUUAAACAUACGUUCGUCCUCGAACGUGCUAAGAACUGCAUUGGAGUUGCCCGAAAUCACUGUUUAACACCUCGAGCACCUACCCGUGCUACCACAACUCAGCUAGGCACCAUAGCUCGAUCAAUCUGAAGAUACCCUUUUCCACUUAGGCAAAUAGGCCAUAGAGCCCAAUUCCAACCUCCGAAAUUCUCUACCAAGACUGUUCCAACGUACGCUCACUGAAUCAAUAACUACACACAACACCAAAACAUGACUACAUACCUUAGCUGAAUUCACACCUUGCACCCCUUUACUCACAGGACCACAAUAACAUUCUCUGAUCAAUUUAGUCGAAAUUCCAUGAAUCUGAUGCUCCCAUUGCACCUCAUGACAUACAUAGGUCUUGCUCUAACUCUUACAAUACCGCCACGAUGGAAGGGAUGUGUAGAAAUUCAUAACCAACUGCCGAACCAACAAAUCAUUAGGUCUAUACUCCUGACAAGAACCAUCACCUCAUUCUGAAUCAAAUAAUGGUCUUAGCUCCUUAAUAUACUUCAUAUAAUCAGAUUGCACUGAUCCUAAAUUCAAUGAUCUCGUCUCACCUAGUACGAACUGCUUAGGCAAUAAGCCAACCCGAACAUGAUCAAAAAUCUCAUAUGAUGCCACAAUAUGCCAAUAGGCUACCAAUUCGAACAUGAUACAUAAAGGAAACAAACUCUGAAAAAGAAAUCCAAUUACCCCACUUGCGAAUCAUACAUGCGACGCGGUCAACAUAAUUGAACAGACACCCCACUCGCGAAUCAUACAUACGACGUGGGCACACAACUAAUAUGAGUGUUCCUCAGAAAAAUAGGAAACAAAAUGCAUAAAAAUAGAUAUAGGGAACUGUACUCAACAUCACAUUGUUGUGGCGCGCAACCUGAUCCAGACAACAUACCCAUGGCGGCGUACCACCCGAUCCACCCAGAAAAUUCACAUAAGGAGAUACACACCGAGCUAAAUUGCUCAUUACAACAAAAUAUCGAAUAUCGGACACAAGCACGCUAAGUGCAUAAUACCAUCCCUGGGGAGACAUAUAGUGCCAUAGGCUACAAAACUCAAGCACAAUUGAGGUGCGAUAUAUGUUCUGAAGCUAAAGAGCCAUCCUGCUCACAUAUCACCAUCGCUACGCGGAACCUCAAUACAUAAGAAAAUUAUCGAGUCGUUCACAACUCACACAGCACAAUAUAGCAUUGCAUGAAAUAGCUGACGAUGAAAUAACACCCCAUGUCUGAAAAUUCCUCCAUAAGAAGCGCUAUGCUGAAAUGAACACAGGCCCAUAUUCACAUUUAAAUCCAUCCACAUACCUCAAGCUGAUUCUAAUCACAUUGAACUAGGCUAAUAACCUUUCGAAGGUCCAUAAUAACUACCUUUUCCUCAAAACACACGAGAACUACCAUCAUAACCGGGACAAUCCUCCACAGUCCACAACCCAAUAAGUCGAGUGCCCUCCGGGCAUAAAUUCUCAAAUUAGUGAUAUUACCACGAUCUUCAUACUUGGUUUAAAUCUUUAAUCAAUCAAGUGACUACAUGUCACACUUAUACAAUCUUCCCGUGAGAUAUGCUCCCACGACCUUCCGCACUAGAUAACGAGUCUGCACAUCUAUACCACCGGUCACACUAAUGUUAUAGAGCAUAUCAAAAAACUGUAACCAAGAUGCAAAGCCUUCAACACAAAAUGCCGAUCUUAGGUGACGCCGAAGGCAAUAACAGCUUACUNNNNNNNNNNNNNNNNNNNNNNNNNAUACUGCUCAUUGCACCUAACAAGCCAACAUGCGAUAGUACAAGAAUUUCAUCAUAAUUUCUGAACCACUAUUAGGGUAAACACUUCAUCACAUAGAACCUUUUUACUUAACUCAUUCCAAGAGAACCAUAGCUACACGCGAGUGAAUUCUCAUAACUGUAGAACAUUCAAAUCCUCAGAUAGUGGCCCAAACUACCAUGAUCCUUCCGGGAUCCGCCUACACUUAACGAGGCCAUAAUACUUGAAUAUUUCUGAAUAACAUCAAUUACGGCGGCCGACAAGCCUCACACUUAUCGUCACAAAUCACUUGCAUAACUUGAUCACGCUGAAGGAACUGAUCACUACCACCAAUAUGCCAAUUCAACUAUGUCUAGCCAAUCUAUCUUCGCCCAAUUUAUCCUUGAUUGCCUUUGAAAUAAUAAUAACACCAUUCAAUACAUAGUUCACUCCAUCCGUACUCAUCCCGAGUGACCUUGAAUCACGAGACCAUGUUGUCUCAAAUUCCACGAACUAUUUCAUACCUCCCUUGUGCACACAUUCGCAUCCUUAAUCGGUACGCCCAUUCUGAUAAUCCCUCUAUGUAUCCGAAGUCCUUUCUCAUUUUCCUCCCAAAUGCAGCCUGCAAGUCAAAACAUCAUAGAACAUUCUGGACCUCUUCUCAUAAGCUGCUACAAAGCUUGAUCCUUAACCGUAUCUAUAAGCUCGAAAUCAUUAUGUACCACACUUUAUCCCUUUGAAUCCACUAGGACAGUUGUUGAGAGCCACCCACUCUGACUUGGCCCCGAAUAUAAUCUACUCCAUAAAUCUUCUAGCACAUGAAUACCCUCUCGACGAAGCACCCAGCAGAAUCACUUUCCUUGAAACCUGUAUCUAUACAAGGCAUAAAUCCUAAAUCCUUCUCCAAGUCUGAACAUGAGCCAAUAAGACCAACCAUAACACACCUUUAACAAUGCCUUUGCUCAAAUUACCACUUAUGUCCUUUUCCCGUAGCUGAAAUAACCCAUCAAUAUGCUAAUAACCAGAAACCUCGCAAGUAGUUAACUAUACAACCCAAUCAUAGGCGGUGGGACUCUCCCACUUAGCUUGGAGCCACUAUUACACACCUCUGGAAUUCACCAAGAUUCUUUAUCUCUUAUUGACAUGACCUCGCGCAAUUAAACCGCUAGAUUCCUUGAAAUCCUUCCAUUAGCACUUCAUGAACACCUUGAAUUUCCAUCAACAUUCACAUAUUCGACCUCUUACUGGAAUGGCCAGUAAAAUCCUCCGCAGAAGCUUCGCCAACCACGCGACCCCUAACCUGCUCACAGGGAAUAACCCACCUGUGGAAAUUACUUUCCGACAUCUUCCAAUGCUGCUGCACGGGGUACAAUCACUACGACAUCAAUAACCCAUCCUGAGCCCGAGCUCACUCUUUAACUGCACAAGUCCAUUCACCCCUCGUGGACAUCAAUUAGAUGUGCGACAACAUCCUUUAAAUUCAAAGUUAUGUUGUAUCCUUCUUCAUUUCAAGCAGCUCCUUUCCGUUAUAUCAAAUCUCCUGCCGCAUAAUAGUCUAUGCUCCAAAUUAAAUCCGUAGGCCCCAAUCACCAAUCUCUAAAACUCCCAAAUCAUUCCAAAUUCUCCUCAAGAUGCAUGGUCAUCCUACCACCAAGCCCAUAUGCAACUCCGCCACUCUCCCACUUUGGCGAAACUCACCCUUUAAUCGACUACUGGACCUUAGCUUCUUAUACUUGGCCUUCUAGAAAUUUUAACCACCACUUAACACUCCCUACAUGUCCUUCCUCAUCCUUUACCGCUCAGUUGUUGCCUUAAAUAAAAAUCUAUCUUCGUAACACUUGAACCAACAAAUCGCUACUAACUUUAAACCUCUCCGAAGAUUAUUUUUCUCGAGUCGUCAGCAUUAGAAACACCGAUUCAAUCUAGAACCACCGCACCCCGAGAUAUCUAACAAUCAUUUCUCCAAUAUUAUUUCACAAUAUCUUACCCCAAAGGCAAAUUGCAGAAGACCAUAACAGCAACGAACUUAACACAUUCAAUCGCGGACGACGACACCACAUUGCAGAUGAGAAUCCCAUCACGCUUGAAAUCACCAAGUCUUGUUACUCCAUCGCUUUAAAUCUGGACGUCCCUAGGCUAAUUGCUUUUCCUCUACCGGAAAUAAAAUAUCAGAUAUCUGAAUUGUGCACUGAGUAGGCUUCCUUUGAAAUCAUUCACUGCACCAACACAUAGGCAAGUAUCCUGCUAUCAAGUCAUUACUGUGCGAUAACCUAUCGUGAGCAUCAUAGCAACCUGUGCAUAGCCUCUAAGCUCUUAGAAGCACAACUACCGAGUCGAAACGAUAGAAAAAUCCUCCCACAAGGCGACGACAAUAGCCCAAUCAACUAUACUAGGAGAAACAUCUUGAACCACGUCCGCAGUACCAUUACAAUUCCUCAAUUCUCGAUUUAUAACAAGCGAUUCGCGUCGCGUAAGGUUGAGUAGGAAGGAAACAAGGGCAUAAGCCCCAAGGAGUCAAAUAGCAUGAUGAGGAAUCAAGAAGGGAAGUGCUCCUAAUAGCCCUGUAGCCUCCCGAAGAUAAGUACAGGCGUUUUCAUACCGAUCCGCGAGACUCUACUAGACUUGCUCAUGACUCGUGAGACCUAACGGAACCUACUGCUCUGAUACCAUAUAGUCACAACCCAAAUUCUACUAAGGGUCGUGAUGGCGCCGGACACCACUGUCAGGCAAGCCAACCAAAAUACUUAAUUAAACUCUCGUUUUAAUAAUUUUGAGAACUAUAAUUUUCCAUCAAUUUUACCAGUAAAAGAUAAUCGUUUCAAAUCAAAUAUGAAUAUUAAGCAGUUACUACAAGAUACCCCAUAAUCAUCCCAGAACCCAGUGUCACAAGUGCAUGAGCAUUUAUAGGGAAUGAAAUAAAAUACGAUAACUAUCCUGAAUACAAAGUGGACAUAAAUGAAAAAAACACAGUACAAUACUCUGAAGGGGACUGUGCUGGUUGUGGGUCGUCUCGAUAAAUGCAGCUCUCUUAAGUUUCAAUAUCAACCAUGUCGCUAUACCACUAAGCCUCUAGCCACAUAUGAACCUGUGCAACAAAAAUGCACAACAGGUGUAGUAUGAGUACGAAAACAACGUAUACUCAAUGAGUAUCCCGUCUAAUCUCGAAGAAGUAGAGACGAGAGGUCGACUUCGACACUUGCUAGUGGUGCAAUAGUAAUAUUAUUAAUGCGAUGAAUCACGAAUUUAUUAAGAACAACAGUAAAUUCAAAUAAGUCACAAAACAGGAAAAAGUUCCUUUUUAUUUAAAAGUCUCCGAAUUCAUAACCCAUUCAUUAACAAUUAUCUCAAGUCGGGGAGAGCAAAUAUCUAUAUCAAUAAAUGCAUUAUUGAUGGUCGAACGGCGCGAACCAUAGAUGCAUCUAUUGCCCCGCUCACGAAUCAUACAUGCGAUGCAGGUACACAUAGAAAUACAUGCUCAAACAGCCAAUUAAGAAUUUAUCGAGAAACAUUUAUCCAAAUAAAAUCCAAUUAACUUUUAACGAUUUAAAAAAAUAAAGUUUAAUACUUUUAGAAAUUCAUUUACCAAUUCGAUAGGAUUUAAGCAAAAAAACUGUCAAUAAGAUUACAAAUAUUCCAAGUAUAACAUGCUUUUGGGUCCUAGACUACCCGGACUUACACAUAUUAGUAGCUACGCGCGAACUCUCGUCACCUCGUGCAUAUGUAGCCCCCACAAAUAGGAGCACAUAACCAAUUAUUUCACCUAUGGGGACAAUUCCCUCUUACAAGAUUAGAAAGGAGACUUACCUCGCUCCGAAGAUUCAUAACCGGCAUUCCACGCUCUUCCGAAGACUCGAAUCGAUGCACAAUGCUCCAAAACUAGCCAAUAAUUAUGCAAAUCCAUUAAUAUAUGUUCAAUUACUCAUUACAAUCCAAUUUAUAACAAUUCCUAACCCCGAGCGAAAAGUUGACAAAAUUGCCCUCGGGCCCACGUGCCCGGAUUCCAAAAUUUUUCGAAGAUAAAGUUUACCCAUGAACUCACGAACUCAAAUAUAUGAUUUUCUCCUAAUUUCAUACCCAAAAAUCGUGGUCAAAAUCCAAGAAUAUGAAUUUUCUAGGGUUUCCUCAAACCCCCAAAUUUCUACCAAUUUACAUGCAAAAAUUCAUACAUAAUCAUUAUAUUUAACUCAAGAUAGGCAGGGUUAGCUUACCUUGUUGAUGAUAAUGAAAAACCCCACUUGAAGCUCUCUAAAUCGCCCACACCAAUUGAAAAUGGGAGAAAAAUGACCAUCUCCUGAUUUUUAAAAGACCACACUACCUCCAGCAUUUUCGCACCUGCGGCUCCGCACCUAUGGAAAUUUCUACCGCAUGUUGAGUCUCAGCCAACUCGCUCAAGUCCACUUCUGCGGUCUCGCUUCUGCGGAAGGUUCGUCGCACCUGCGACCCCAUCCAAGCCCAGCCAUUUUCCGCUUCUACGACACAAGGGCUGCUUCUGCGGCUCCGCACCUGCGGCCCAAGUCUUGCAGGUGCGGUUACACCAGCAACCAACAACUUCAGCUCUUCCCCCAAGUUCCAAUUCAAUCCGUUAACCACCCGGAAUCUACCCGAGGCCUCCGGAACUCCGACCAAUCAUACCAACCAGUCCCAAAACACAUUACGAACUUGUUCGAGGCCUUAAAUCAUAUCAAACAACACUAAAAUCAUGAAUCGACCUCCAAUCCAAGCUUAAUGAACUUUAGAAAUUCAAACUUCUCCAUUCGAUGACAAAACCUAUCAAAUCACGUUCAAUUGACCUCAAAUUUUGCACACAAGUUAUAUUUGACAUUAUGGACCUACCCCAACUUCCAGAAUUGAAAUCCAACCUCGAUAUCAAAAAGUCCACUUUCAGUCAAACUUCUCAAAAACCAUCAAAUUUCUAUCUUUAGCCAAAUGACUCCAAAAUGACCUACGGACCUCCGAGUUCACUUCCGAUCGCACUCCCAAUACCAGAAUCACCAUACGGAGCUAUUCCCAAACUCGAAAUCCCAAACAGGAAUUAAUAACACUGAAAUGCACUUCAACCCAAACUUAUGAGAUUCUUCCAAAAUGCUAACUUCCACAAUAGGCGCUGAAACGCUCUCGGGACUUCCAAAACCCGAUCGGACAUACUCCCAAGUCCGAAAUCAUCAGAAGCUAAGAGUUAUAUUUGUUUGCUUUGUUGGCUAUAAUAUUACUGCCAUGAUGUUCUCAAACAUCGAUACCAUGUCCUUAGGAUUUUAAUUCAUCUAGAUAUUCAGUCUAUGGAUAAAGCAUCCAGAUAACUUGCUAUCCCAUAAUGCUUGUACUUUAUUUUGUUUGAGUAAUUAUUUAUUUGAUUUGAACACUAGAGGUGCUCUAUUUAGAAACUAAUAGUAAGAUAAGUCAACAACUUCGUUGGUGUUAAAGGCUAGCGAGUUGUAUUUCUCAGCAUAUUCUUUAUCUUUACAUGACUAAAUUGCAAAUUGUUUGAAUUAAAUACUUGAAGUUAUAUUAUUUGGAAGUAACGAGUUAAAUCUAUUUUCGCGACAAUUCGAUCUCCAUGUGCGCUGCAUAUGUGUUCUGGUUGGGCUAUGAUGUUACAGAAUGGCGUAAUUCGAGCAUUGAGCGAGGAUUUGGAGUCGCCUGGGAAGGGGAAGAUUUAAGAAUUAUUGUGUUGGAAUUUACUUUGCGCCUGAAGCUCAUUAGUUUAGCUUGUGUUGUAAUGUUGGCCUUAUAAUGCUACAAAUAAUCUGUAAUUGUCUAAAAGAGUGGAUAUUGCUAAUUGUUGUCAUGACUAGUUUUCCUUUUAAUAGUGGAUAUUGCUAAUUGUUUUAAACUUGUC